GGCAGUGGCAGAUCCAUCCACAGGACUUCUUUUGCUCAAGGACCUGGGUACACUUGAACCAGACAAGCUCAGCAGUGACAGAACCAGAACUGGCUUCAGCAUCCAUCACAGAUCAUCUUUCCUGCCCUGAAGGACUGCUGUGACAGAUGGAGCCCAAACUCAUGGACUAAAUUUCUCCACGAGACUACCCAUAGACUAAUGAAACUAUAUCUGUAACCCCAAAGGUUCUGAGACAUCUAUUGUAAACAGCAGAAGCCUGAGGAUAGCAUGCUCCCCCACUUAAGAGGACCCAGAGAACUACAGGAUAAGCUGGUGAAGAUUCAGAGAACACUCAAAACUGAGCACAGAGAAGAGAGCAGCACACUACAUGAGACUGAAGAAACAUCACAUGGUACAGCAGAGUUAAAGAAGGAAUAACUAAAAAAGAUUCUGAUCCUGUUCUCUUCUUCCCCAUAAAAAUCCCACGACUCCAUGUGAAGGGGAAAGUUUGACUAAAAGAGGAUUCUAUUACAAAUUAACCAGGAUCAAUUUCUUGGAAUUAGAUGGUACUUGCCUUUUCAGCAGCUGACACGUCAGCCGUUUGUAUGAAGACUGUUAAGAAACCCAUGACUUCCUUUCCUUCUUACAUGAUCUCAGUGAGAACAGGGGAGAGCUGGUAGUUAUAUCCAGUGCUGGGCACUGCCUCUUCUGCAGGUAAGCCCAUGCUGCAAGAUGGAUCAGGUAACGGGUUGUAAACUGUUGUACUAAAAUUUUGCUUAUGAAUGUAAACAAGAGCCUCCUGGAGCAGGAGCCACGGGUGCUGUGGUGCCAAAGAAUAUAAAGGAUUGGCUCUUUUGGCCUCUUUGUUAUACCCCAAUUCUGCUUUAUCCUGCAUGGCUGAUGCAGCCUGCUGAUGCAUUUUUAAGAGAACAGUGAGAAGUUACAUUUUGCACAUACAAUUAUUUCGUCUGUGGUUACAGCUUGUGUUUUGAAAAUUUCACAUCUGUUUCCAGUGCCUGUCUGACAUCAGCUACUCCUAAGAAGACUCCCUUCUUAUUUCACAGGUUCAGUGCAGAAGGCAACUAUUGACACUACAAAUUUUCCAAUUUUUCUGC